rnacentral:sRNA from 18 species
GUAAGCAACCCACGGCUUUAAGCCGUGGGCUUCGACCAGACUCGAACUGAAAGAAGCCAAGCUUACCAGACUAUCAGUAGUUUACUACUGGGUUCACGUUAAGUGUUAAAGAACUCACCUUGGGAUGCGUAGCUAGUUCCAAGCUCUGAA